rnacentral:lncRNA from 1 species
CAACUACUGAUUAUGUAUUAGUUCGACCUGUAUCUAUAGCACGAUUUCUCCUGACGGUGUGCAAGUUAGGUGGAGCGAUCCUCAUUGCACCAGGGUGUACGCGUGUCACCAAUAAACACAUGCCUGCUCUAUAUCCUUACUGGCUAUAGGGUCUGAUUUCCGCACGUCAAGAGCUGCUUGUGUCCUGGGAGGAGAGCGAGCCGUUCCCUGUGUCUGUCAGAGGAGUGAAGGUGCCAAAAUGCCGGCCCAUCUGGGCAGGUGGGUGCAGCAGGGCCCAGAACGCAGGGAGGGGAAGCCAGAAGCACUGCGUGCUGCCGGGCUUCCUCCAGCUGGGUGGCACAACGUCCCCUUCUGUGGGCACAGCCCUGCUCCUGCUCUGGGCAGAGCCAAAUGGGGCUAAAAGGAUCCCAGCAGAGCGUGUCCCAGCGCUGGGCUGUGAUAACCACCAUCUGAUCUCUCCCUUAGGCAACGCGCUGCCAAAGAGAGGGGAAGGAGAACUCCCGUCCUGCUUCUAGUAGUCCUUUCUGGUGAGUGUUCCCCACCCAGGGCCGUCCCAGCAGAGCCGGGGAGCGGGACUGUCCCACACAGCGUGUGCCUGCUGGGUCUGGAAGAGGAAAAUGGGACUGCGGGGCUCAGAGCAGUUUGAGCAAACUAACUGUCUCUCCCGACUGAUGUCCCCCACAGCUGGAGCCUU